rnacentral:rRNA from 1 species
AGUGAACGCUGGCGGUAGGCCUAACACAUGCAAGUCGAACGGCAGCACAGUAAGAGCUUGCUCUUACGGGUGGCGAGUGGCGGACGGGUGGGGAAUACAUCGGAAUCUACUUUUUCGUGGGGGAUAACGUAGGGAAACCUACGCUAAUACCGCAUACGACCUACGGGUGAAAGCAGGGGAUCUUCGGACCUUGCGCGAUUGAAUGAGCCGAUGUCGGAUUAGCUAGUUGGCGGGGUAAAGGCCCACCAAGGCGACGAUCCGUAGCUGGUCUGAGAGGAUGAUCAGCCACACUGGAACUGAGACACGGUCCAGACUCCUACGGGAGGCAGCAGUGGGGAAUAUUGGACAAUGGGCGCAAGCCUGAUCCAGCCAUACCGCGUGGGUGAAGAAGGCCUUCGGGUUGUAAAGCCCUUUUGUUGGGAAAGAAAGGCAGCAGGUUAAUACCCCGCUGUUCUGACGGUACCCAAAGAAUAAGCACCGGCUAACUUCGUG